rnacentral:rRNA from 1 species
CAUCACUACGCUAGAUGCAUAUCAAUAAGCGGAGGAAAAGAAACUAACAAGGAUUCCCUUAGUAACGGCGAGUGAAGCGGGAAGAGCUCAAAUUUGAAAUCUUCAAGGUUCUACCUUGACGAAUUGUAGUUUAUAGAAGUGUUUUCUGUUAGUAGAGUGGCAAAAGUUCUUUGGAAUAGGACAUCAUAGAGGGUGAGAAUCCCGUAUUUGGUCAUUCUUCCUAGCUUUGUGAUACACUUUCAACGAGUCGGAUUGUUUGGGAAUGCAGUCCAAAAUGGGUGGUAAAUUUCAUCUAAAGCUAAAUAUUGGCGAGAGACCGAUAGCGAACAAGUACCGUGAGGGAAAGAUGAAAAGAACUUUGAAAAGAGAGUUAAACAGUACGUGAAAUUGUCAAAAGGGAAGCGUUUGACACCAGUGUUGUUUUCUCGAAAAUCAAUUAAUAAUUUUGAUUUUAAGUAUUGUUAUGACCUUAUCAGCUUGCUGUACUUUUUUCUUGCUCUUUUUAAUGCACUUUUCGUUUAACAAGUCAACAUCAAUUUCUUUUGUUGUAAAAGGGUCAUUGGAAGGCGGCUUUCACUUCGGUGAAAGUGUUUAUAGCCUUUGGCUUCUACAAUCGGAGAGAUUGAGGUCUGCAGCGUAGAUCCUUCGGGGUUAGAUACGUAGAUGCUAAGUUAUAGUUUUUUAUAGACAACUUGUUGACUAUGAUUAAUCAUGUAGCUUACUCGUUUACGCUAUUUUACCUACGCUUAGGAUGUUGACACACGCGCGUGCUCG